AAUUUUGGACAAUGGGGGGAACCCUGAUCCAGCCAUCCCGCGCGUGCGAUGAAGGCCUUCGGGUUGUAACGCACUCUUGGCAGGCAAGACAAGGCUCUGGUUAAUACACGCAGCUGCUGACCGUCCCUGCAGACUAAGCACCGCCUAACUACGUGCCAGCAGCCGCGGUAAUACGUAGGGUGCAAGCGUUAAUCGGAAUUACUGGGCGUAAAGCGUGCGCAGGCGGUUUGGCAAGAAGGAUGUGAAAUCCCAGGGCUUAACCUUGGAACUGCAUUCUUAACUACCAGGCUAGAGUAUGUCAGAGGGGAGUAGAAUUCCGCGUGUAGCAGUGAAAUGCGUAGAGAUGCGGAGGAAUACCGAUGGCGAAGGCAGCCCCCUGGGAUAAUACUGACGCUCAGACACGAAAGCGUGGGGAGCAAAC
rnacentral:rRNA from 1 species